rnacentral:rRNA from 14 species
CCGUUCCGUAGGUGAACCUGCGGAAGGAUCAUUA